GUUGCAGUUCCACCAGCGUUCCACUGGGGGCGAUCACCAUGAGUGCAAAAUGAAUGGGAGUCUACGGGGCUAGAUGGCUAAAUUUGUCCCUUUCACCCGAUUGCCGUUGAGAAUUCUCAGAUCUGAUGGUUGAGUUGUCGUUGCCCACAACACGCUAGCAUUCUGCUAAUGAACGCUGAUUGGUCAGUGAAGGACUGAUUACGACCAGAGAUACCGCUUGAUAGCAUCCGAAUCAGAAUCAGCCAUAGACAGUAAAAGAAAUGGACACAGCGACCCCAUUGGAACUCAACUGAGACAAUUGAAGCACUUCCGUUUCUGACGCGCAGACUCAAACGAAGCUUGACGACGUCAGCAACCUGUCUGACAGAUGUAAAUGUUCUAGUAGCUGUGCGUGCAAACUGCCAUCGUUAAUCUUGCAGAGACGGCGAGCUUGAGCGGGGAGUUCUUUGGCGUGAGUGAGCAGGAUUGCCAGAUGCUGUCCUGUUGGAAAUUCUUCUUUACGUGAUCCUGGAGGAGGGGUGAUGCUACAUUACUUAGUCCGUCUUUGGUUUGUUCCAAAUUCAGAAGUCUGCUGUACUGUAUACAGACUCCUUUCGAAAGAGGGCACAAUCCAGCUGGCUUGACUGAGUAUCUUCUUUUACAUAUUUGAUUAGAGGUUUAAAAAGGUGCCAUAACAUUACAUUUCUCAGUUGCCAUGUCUGAAUGUUUAUCUUUGUAAUAAUGCUGUUUUCAUGCUCCUCAUCUCAAUAUACAGGUGGAACAAAAUGGAGAACAAGUCUAAGCCAUGUCAGGAAUUCAACAAAAUGUACACCCUGCAGACACUGCGAUGAGGUUUACAACAACUGCUUACCAGGUCACUGCAGUCACCCGGAUCGAGUAUGUAUCCAGACCAGAUGGUGGAUCGCACCUAGAAAGGACCUCUACAGCCCUGAAAGACAGCGGAGACCAGGACAACUAGAGCCCCAGAUACAGAUCCCCUGUAAAGACCUUGUUUUUUCUCCAUUUUGUCACCGGUGGAGUUUUGGUUCCUUGUCGCCUCUGGCUUGCUUCGUUGUGGUCACUUCAUUUACAGUGAUAUCAUUGACAUGAUUGCAAAUGAUUCCACAGAUACUAUUUAAACUGAACCGAGCUGAAGGAUGACAUCACUGAAUUGAAUGAUAAACUGCCUUUUAAACUGACUACAAACUGAGUUUACUAAUGUCCUUCUGCAUUAUUGACUGACGCACUAUUUUCCUAUUUAAUACUGUAAAGUUGCUUUGCUUUGAUCUGUAUUAUUAAAAGCACUAUAUAAAUAAACGAUGCUUGACUUGACCAUGUUGCAAGAGGAAAAUGAGGAGAGAUGCACAUCCACCGUGGGUUUUACAGUGAUUGGUGCAAGAUGCUGGAGAAGUAACUCCGUAUACCUCAUCAGUUCUGAUCUAAGAGUCUUGAAAAUACCUCCGGAUUGUUGUUAGUGAUUCUGAUUGAUAUUUUAGUCUGCUUGCUUACUGGAUAUAUUUUAUACGGUUUACAUUGUAAAGCACUGACUUUGACAACUUACUAACCCAGUUUUCAAAUUUAACAGCUACUUUAUACUAUAUGUGUAUAUAUAUAUAGUUGUUUCUUGAAAUACUACAAAUAUAACCGCAAAUUAUGAUUUUAAAUAAAGGUCUCUGAGACUUC